rnacentral:lncRNA from 1 species
CCGUGCGCCGGGAGCGCGCCGGCCAGUGGCGAGCAGAGCCAGGGCACGCAGCGCCUGUGACAGCAGCCCGCCCAGCAGCCGAGUGACCUCCCGAGUGACUCCUCCUCAGGCCAGAAAAGGCCGCGCUCCACCCUGCCCUCGCCACCUCAGGCAGAGUAGGACUGGCGACAGUCCAGGGAAGCCAGGCGCGGGGGAGCGCACCGCGAGUGCUGGCUCCUGGCGCCAGCACCCCCGGGGCCGACGGGUCACGCUGCUCCUGUGAGCGCGGCCGCCUGACGGGGCCGAAUUUCCCCACAGCCAGGCGUGCGUGCCCGGACCUCCCGCGGAUCUCUGCGGACCCCCCACCACCGGGGCAGGGGCUGGAAGGAAGCUCCCCAGGACUGGCUCAGGGAGCGUUUCCAAAUUCUCCCAUCCCAGGAAGACAGGGUCUUGCUUCUGUUGCUCAGGCUGGAGUGCAGUGUUGCGAUCAAAGCUCACUAGAACCUCAAAUUCCCGGGCUCAGCCAAUCCUCCUGCUCCAGCCUCCCAAGUAAUUGGGGCUACAGGCAUGCACCACUGCACCCAGUUAAUUUUAAUUUUAAUUUUUUUUCUGGUAAAAACAGCAUCUCACUAUGUUAUCCAGGUUGCUCAGAUUGGUCUCAAACCCUUGGCUUCAAGCGAUCCUCCCACAUCAGCCUCCCAAAGUGCUGGGAUUACAGGUGUGAAUCACUGCACCUGGCCUUCCUGAGUUCUUUAGAAAAGUUUAUUCAUAAAUGUUUUGUGCAAGUGGCAUUUUUUUUUUGUUUUUUAUUUUGGUAG